rnacentral:rRNA from 1 species
CUAAAUGACUCUCGGCAACGGAUAUCUUGGCUCUCGCAUCGAUGAAGAACGUAGCGAAAUGCGAUACUUGGUGUGAAUUGCAGAAUCCCGUGAACCAUCGAGUUUUUGAACGCAAGUUGCGCCCAAAGCCUUCGGGCCGAGGGCACGUCUGCCUGGGUGUCAUGU